CUUUAGCAAUGGAAAACUUUGGGAUUUGUUCCGAGUAAGUGUGGUUUUUGGUAGUAUGCCGUUGUAUCUCCUUAUCUAAACAUGCAAAUAUGCAUACAUGCAGGGGUUCUGUGUACAGAGUAUUGUAUAGAAUUUGUUUCCUGUUUUUUUAGAAGCACGGACAAACCUUGCGAUGCCAACGGAAAAAGUAUUAAAAGUAUCCAAGACGAUGAAAAGGUUGUUUUCGAAAAUCCUUUGUAUGAAGAGUUCAAAACGUCCCAAAUGUGAAGUUCGAACAAUAUUUUGGCAGGAAGUAUACUCUUGUUGUUUACUUUUCGUGGGCGCGCUCUUUAAUUCUAUUUGUUGGAGACGACUUACCUGAACUUGUAUUUUUUAAACAGAGGGCAAAUUCCACCAAUUAGUUUCCCUUUAAUUAUUACUUUUUUCGGGCAAAGACGCCCAAACUAUGAUUCAGAGCACAACGUAGUUCGGUUUACUGUGUUAUUGUUGACUCGGUAAUAUGAUAUAUAUUUAUCGCUUUCAAGCCGAUGUCAUAAAUGUCCCUCGUUCGCUGCGCUCAUUCGUGACAUUUAUGAUAUCGUCCCACCCUCCAUAUGAUAAGACAUGCAUUUUACUGUACAAUUACGUCCGCGUGCAUGCAGUGUCAGAUACUGUUUUGAGUUUUCGAUUAAUAUUUGGCGUUCUACUUUCACAAGGUGGCUGGGGUUUUUCAUGAAUAAUGGGCAAAUAUGUUAUAAGCUAUAUUUAUAGUUUGUGAACAAUGUAAUGAUUCCUUUAUCAUUGUCGACUUGUAACUUAUUGUUACGAAAAUAAUUUGUGUUUUUAAUUUUGCAUGUGCAUGAAAAAGAAUAGACGAAGACCCGACACGGUCUGGUAAUUUACAGAACUUUUUAAAGUUUAUUACGACAUUAUCGAC